rnacentral:rRNA from 1 species
GAGUGGCGGACGGGUGCGUAACGCGUAGGAAUCUGCCUAUUAGUGGGGGACAACUUAGGGAAACUUAAGCUAAUACCGCAUACGCCCUACGGGGGAAAGGAGGGGACCUUCGGGCCUUUCGCUAAUAGAUGAGCCUGCGUUGGAUUAGCUAGUUGGUGGGGUAAAGGCCUACCAAGGCGACGAUCCAUAGCUGGUCUGAGAGGACGAUCAGCCACACUGGGACUGAGACACGGCCCAGACUCCUACGGGAGGCAGCAGUGGGGAAUAUUGGACAAUGGGCGAAAGCCUGAUCCAGCAAUACCGCGUGUGUGAAGAAGGCCUUAGGGUUGUAAAGCACUUUCAAUUGGAAGGAAAAACUCAUGGCCAAUACCCAUGAGCUUGACAUUACCUUUAGAAGAAGCACCGGCUAACUCCGUGCCAGCAGCCGCGGUAAUACGGAGGGUGCGAGCGUUAAUCGGAAUUACUGGGCGUAAGGCGUGCGUAGGCGGCUCGUUAAGUCAGAUGUGAAAGCCCUGGGCUCAACCUGGGAACGGCAUUUGAAACUGGCGAGCUAGAGUUUGGGAGAGGAGAGUGGAAUUUCAGGUGUAGCGGUGAAAUGCGUAGAGAUCUGAAGGAACACCAGUGGCGAAGGCGACUCUCUGGCCUAAAACUGACGCUGAGGUACGAAAGCGUGGGUAGCAAACAGGAUUAGAUACCCUGGUAGUCCACGCCGUAAACGAUGUCAACUAGCCGUUGGCUCUCUUAGAGAGUUAGUGGCGCAGCUAACGCAUUAAGUUGACCGCCUGGGGAGUAC